rnacentral:rRNA from 1 species
AUACGAGGGGUGCAAGCGUUAAUCGGAAUUACUGGGCGUAAAGCGCUCGUAGGCGGUUUGUUAAGCAAGAUGUGAAAGCCCUGGGCUCAACCUGGGAACUGCAUUUUGAACUGGCAAGCUAGAAUACUGUAGAGGGUGGUGGAAUUUCCAGUGUAGCGGUGAAAUGCGUAGAGAUUGGAAGGAACAUCAGUGGCGAAGGCGGCCACCUGGACAGAUAUUGACGCUGAGGAACGAAAGCGUGGGGAGCGAACAGGAUUAGAAACCCCAGUAGUCC